rnacentral:rRNA from 1 species
CCCCUAGAUGUUCUGGGCCGCACGCGCGCUACACUGAACAGUUCAACAAGUCUAACCUUGGCCGAUAGGUCUGGGUAAUCUUUGAACGCUGUUCGUGAUUGGGAUAGACCUUUGCAAUUAUGGGUCUUCAACGAGGAAUUCCUAGUAAACGCAAGUCAUCAGCUUGCAUUGAUUACGUCCCUGCCCUUUGUACACACCGCCCGUCGCACCUACCGAUUGAAUGGUCCGGUGAAAUCUCGGGACGGCGGCUUGGUCGCUUGCGUCCGACUGCUGAAACUUGAUUAAACCAUAUCAUUUAGAGGAAGGUGAAGUCGUAACA